UACGAAGGGUGCAAGCGUUACUCGGAAUUACUGGGCGUAAAGGGUGCGUAGGUGGUCGUUUAAGUCCGUUGUGAAAUCCCUGGGCUCAACCUGGGAAUGGCAGUGGAUACUGGACGGCUAGAAUGCGGUAGAGGGUAGUGGAAUUCCCGGUGUAGCAGUGAAAUGCGUAGAGAUCGGGAGGAAUACCGAUGGCGAAGGCAGCCCCCUGGGAUAACACUGACGCUCAUGCACGAAAGCGUGGGGAGCAAACAGG
rnacentral:rRNA from 1 species